UCACGCUGUAAACGAUGUCGAUUUGGAGGUUGUUCCCGUGAGGAGUGGCUUCCGGAGCUAACGCGUUAAAUCGACCGCUGGGGAGUACGGCCGCAAGGUUAAAACUCAAAUGAAUUGACGGGGGCCCGCACAAGCGGUGGAGCAUGUGGUUUAAUUCGAUGCAACGCGAAGAACCUUACCUACUCUUGACAUCCAGAGAAUUUAGCAGAGAUGCUUUAGUGCCUUCGGGAACUCUGAGACAGGUGCUGCAUGGCUGUCGUCAGCUCGUGUUGUGAAAUGUUGGGUUAAGUCCCGCAACGAGCGCAACCCUUAUCCUUUGUUGCCAGCACAUUAUGGUGGGAACUCAAAGGAGACUGCCGGUGAUAAACCGGAGGAAGGUGGGGAUGACGUCAAGUCAUCAUGGCCCUUACGAGUAGGGCUACACACGUGCUACAAUGGCGUAUACAAAGAGAAGUGACCUCGCGAGAGCAAGCGGAACUCAUAAAGUACGUCGUAGUCCGGAUUAGAGUCUGCAACUCGACUCCAUGAAGUCGGAAUCGCUAGUAAUCGUAGAUCAGAAUGCUACGGUGAAUACGUUCCCGGGCCUUGUACACACCGCCCGUCACACCAUGGGAGUGGGUUGCAAAAGAAGUAGGUAGCUUAACCUUCGGGAGGGCGCUUACCACUUUGUGAUUCAUGACUGGGGUGAAGUCGUAACAAGGUAACCA
rnacentral:rRNA from 1 species